GGGCGUGUGGCGCAGUUGGUAGCGCGUUCGCUUAGCAUGCGAAAGGUCUCCGGUUCGACUCCGGACUCGUCCA